UGGAGGGUUACAGGUUGGUAGGCUUGUUGCCAGGUUGGUAGGCCUGUUUCCAGGUUAGUUCGUUGGUAAGCUGCCAUUUAUUUUAGGCUUGUUGCCAUGUUGGUAGGUUUGUUGCCAGGUAAGUUGGUUGGUAAGCUGCCAUUUUUUUUUAGGCGGGUUGCCAGGUUGGUAGGCUUGCUGCCAGGUUGGUAGGCUUGUUGCCAGGUUGGUAGGCCUGUUUCCAGGUUAGUUGGUUGGUAAGCUGCCAUUUUUUUUUUGGCUUGUUGCCAGGUUGGUAUGCUUGUUUCAAGGUUAGUUGGUUUGUAAGCUGCCAGGUUGGUAGGCUUGUUGCAAAGUUGCUAGGCUUGUUCGACGGUUGUUGGUUGGUAGGCGUGUUGCCAGGUUUGUAGGAGUGUUGCCAGGUUAGUUGGUUGGUAGGCUUGUUGCCAGGUUAGGUGGUUGGUAGGCUUGUUGCCAAAUUGGUAGGUUGAUUGCCAGGUUAGUUGGUUGGUAGGUUGGUUGCCAGGUGAGUUGCCUGGUAGGUUGCCAGGUUGGUAGGUAUGUUGCCAGGUUAGUUGGUAGGUAGGUUGCCCGGUAGAUUAGGAGGUUGCCUCUUAGGUUGCCAGGUAGGUUGGUUAGUUGGUUGGUAGGUUGGUAGGUGGCCUCUAAGGUUGGUAGGUUGCCAGGUUGGUAGCUUAACAGGUUGCCUUAUUGGCCGGUUAAAACUAGAAGUGGGGGUAAACAUCUUCGUGUGAGAAUCUGGAUAACUUUCUUCCCAAUACUUUACGUAUUGUCAGAUUGACAAAAAUAUGUAAACCAUUAAAGUCCAAGUUAUCUGAGUGGAAGCAAAAUAAACACGCACAGUGCGUGUGUCUGUGUGACGUGCUCGACGUCGGUGAACAACAAGACGUUGUUCAGAUCUACAAUAGCGGCACAUGGUAAAAUGAGCGAUGAGAAAUUGAAAUGCUGUACAGCCUGUAAGUGUUAAUUAGGUACCAGUCAGUCCACCGGUUGAGUUCCCUCUCAAGUGUGUGUAUGUGUGUGUAUGUGUGUGUAUGUGUGUGUAUGUGUGUGUGUGCACCUCGCCAUUCUCCUCUUCUUUCCUCUGCUUUCAUCAGCUAAACGAACGGAACACAAAGUCUAAUCGUUAAUGAGCCCUGUCCUGGCCAUGCUCCCCCCACCACCAGACGGACAGAGCCCCACACAUUUCUGCAAAACACCGAUAUUGCUUACUUUGAGUUUUUUUUUCUUUGUCUUUACAUAUAUGUUACAUGACAUGUAAAUGUAAUGUAAAAUUUAAAUGCGCCAUGUUGUUAUUACUCACAAUUACCUGGGGAAAUGACUUGAGUCACAUGACCAAUAUUUGUCAACUCAACUCAGAAAUGAUCAAAAGCACCUUUCAAGAGCUUCUCCUUGGCUCUGACGUCAUCCGACAUGUUUCUCUCUCUAUUGGUCGGCCCGGUGUGUCUGUCGCUCCUGGUCCCGCCCGUUCCUGCCGAUGCCGUAUCCUGAAUGGC